AAUGAACGUUGGCGGCGUGGGUUAGGCAUGCAAGUCGAGCGAGCGGCGCAAGGGACAGUAAUGUGUAGACAUCUACCCUCGGCUCGGGAUAGCUGCGGGAAACUGCAGGUAAUACCGAAUAGGAUGAGUCUGCAUCCUAUUAGCUUGUUGGUGGGGUAACGGCCUACCAAGGCAAUGAUGGGUAGCAGGUGUGAGAGCACGACCUGCGUCAUUGGGACUGAGACACUGCCCAGACACCUACGGGUGGCUGCAGUCGAGAAUCUUCGGCAAUGGGCGCAAGCCUGACCGAGCGACGCCGCGUGCGGGAUGAAGGCCUUCGGGUUGUAAACCGCUGUCAGAGGGGAUGACCUAUCCUCAGAGGAAGUACGGGCUAAGUUCGUGCCAGCAGCCGCGGUAAGACGAACCGUACGAACGUUAUUCGGAAUCACUGGGCUUAAAGGGUGCGUAGGCGGUGCGGAAAGUUGGGUGUGAAAUCCCUCGGCUCAACCGAGGAACUGCGCCCAAAACUACCGCACUGAGGGAGAUAGAGGUGAGCGGAACUUAGGGUGGAGCGGUGAAAUGCGCUGAUAUCCUAAGGAACACCGGCGGCGAAAGCGGCUCACUGGAUCUCUUCUGACGCUGAGGCACGAAAGCUAGGGUAGCGAACGGGAUUAGAUACCCCGGUAGUCCUAGCCGUAAACGAUGAGCACUGGAUCGAAUGGUCGCAGCGAAAGUGUUUAGUGCUCCG
rnacentral:rRNA from 1 species